rnacentral:rRNA from 1 species
AUUGAACGCUGGCGGCAGGCUUAACACAUGCAAGUCGAGCGGAGAUGAGGUGCUUGCACCUUAUCUUAGCGGCGGACGGGUGAGUAAUGCUUAGGAAUCUGCCUAUUAGUGGGGGACAACAUUCCGAAAGGAAUGCUAAUACCGCAUACGUCCUACGGGAGAAAGCAGGGGAUCUUCGGACCUUGCGCUAAUAGAUGAGCCUAAGUCGGAUUAGCUAGUGGGUGGGGUAAAGGCCUACCAAGGCGACGAUCUGUAGCGGGUCUGAGAGGAUGAUCCGCCACGCUGGGACUUGGACACGGCCCAGACUCCUACGGGAGGCAGCAGUGGGGAAUAUUGGACAAUGGGGGGAACCCUGAUCCAGCCAUGCCGCGUGUGUGAAGAAGGCCUUAUGGUUGUAAAGCACUUUAAGCGAGGAGGAGGCUACUGAGACUAAUACUCUUGGAUAGUGGACGUUACUCGCAGAAUAAGCACCGGCUAACUCUGUGCCAGCCGCCGCCGUAA